rnacentral:rRNA from 1 species
UCGCCUCUUGCCCAUCCCUGUAUAAGAGGUCCCGCCUGCCCUGUGAUUUUUUUAACGGCCGCGGUAUCCUGACCGUGCGAAGGUAGCGUAAUCACUUGUCUUUUAAUUGAAGACCCGUAUGAAAGGCAUUACGAGAGUUUAUCUGUCUCUAUUUUCCAAUCAAUGAAAUUGAUCCUCUCGUGCAGAAGCGAGAAUAAUAACAUAAGACGAGAAGACCCUAUGGAGCUUUAAACACUUAAGUUACUUUUAAAAUACCCAAACUCCCCACGGACAUAAAUAAAAAAUAACUCUCUAACUUAACUUGUUUUUGGUUGGGGCGACCGAGGGGAAAAAUGAAACCCCCUUAUCGAAUGUGUGAAAAAUCACUUAAAAAUUAGAGCCACAACUCUAAUUAAUAGAAAAUCUAACGAACAAUGACCCAGGGACACUCCUAUCCCUGAUCAAUGAACCAAGUUACCCUAGGGAUAACAGCGCAAUCCUUUCUUAGAGUCCCCAUCGCCGAAAGGGUUUACGACCUCGAUGUUGGAUCAGGACAUCCUAAUGGUGCAGCCGCUAU